CUUUUUGGUCCGUCUGAAUUCCCUCAGUGACGGUCGGCAGAAAGCGCAUCUGUGUUUGUGCACGAGACCUUCGGAGAAGGGUUGCUGUGGCCUGAACGGGCAGCAUUUAUGGUGGUGGCCUGUUUGCUGUCGGGGCGGGACUUGCAGCAGACUUUCUCGUAGGGCUGGGCUCCUUAUGCAUGAGUUACACGCCUGAGUGCCUCUACGGGUUUUGUGGCUUGUGGCUUUUAUGAAGGGACCAGAAUGUUAGGAACUCUGGAGUUGCGAAUUGCUGCAGGAGAACCGUGUUCCGCAUUUUGUUCUUCUAGAGCAGAGUCCUUCCGGUUCCCGACCUUCAACACCUAAAAGUGAUUCAGAAUUGGUCAGCAAGUCCACGGACAGGACAGGGCAGAAGAACCCAGAAAUGCUUUGGCUGUGGGGAGAGCUGCCGCAGGCUGCUAAGUCUUCUUCUCCACACAAGAUGAAAGAGUCCAGCCCAUUGAGCAGUAGAAAAAUUUGUGAUAAAAGUCACUUUCAGGCCAUUCACAGCGAAUCUUCAGACACUUUUAGUGACCAAUCGCCAACUCUGGUCGGUGGGGCACUUUUGGACCAGAACAAGCCUCAGACAGAAAUGCAGUUUGUGAAUGAAGAAGACCUGGAGACCUUAGGAGCAGCAGCGCCACUCUUGCCCAUGAUCGAGGAGCUCAAACCCCCCUCUGCCAGUGUAGUCCAGACAGCAAACAAGACGGAUUCUCCUUCCAGGAAAAGAGAUAAACGAAGCCGACAUCUUGGUGCUGACGGCGUCUACUUGGAUGACCUCACAGACAUGGAUCCUGAAGUGGCGGCCCUGUAUUUUCCCAAAAACGGAGAUCCUUCCGGACUCGCAAAACAUGCAAGCGACAACGGAGCCCGGUCAGCCAACCAGUCCCCGCAGUCGGUGGGCAGCUCGGGCGUGGACAGUGGCGUGGAGAGCACCUCGGACGGGCUGAGGGACCUCCCUUCCAUCGCCAUCUCCCUCUGCGGGGGCCUCAGCGACCACCGGGAGAUCACGAAAGAUGCAUUCCUGGAGCAAGCUGUGUCAUAUCAACAGUUUGUGGACAACCCCGCUAUUAUCGAUGACCCCAAUCUCGUGGUAAAGAUUGGGAGUAAAUAUUAUAACUGGACAACAGCAGCACCCCUCCUCCUGGCAAUGCAGGCCUUCCAGAAACCUUUGCCAAAGGCCACUGUGGAAUCUAUCAUGAGGGAUAAAAUGCCCAAAAAGGGAGGAAGAUGGUGGUUUUCAUGGAGAGGAAGAAACACCACAAUCAAGGAGGAAAGUAAGCCAGAGCAGUGCUUGGCUGGCAAGGCCCAUAGCACCGGAGAGCAACCGCCGCAGCUCAGCUUGGCCACCAGGGUAAAGCAUGAAUCAUCCUCCAGUGAUGAGGAGCGCGCAGCUGCCAAGCCAUCAAACGCAGGCCACCUCCCUCUUCUGCCUAAUGUCAGCUACAAGAAGACUCUCCGGCUGACUUCCGAGCAGCUUAAAAGCUUGAAGUUGAAGAAUGGCCCCAACGACGUGGUUUUCAGUGUCACCACGCAGUACCAAGGCACGUGCCGCUGUGAGGGCACCAUCUAUCUGUGGAACUGGGAUGAUAAAGUCAUCAUUUCUGAUAUUGAUGGGACAAUUACUAGAUCAGAUACUCUUGGCCACAUUUUGCCCACCCUUGGGAAGGAUUGGACCCAUCAGGGCAUCGCUAAGCUGUACCAUAAAGUGAGCCAGAAUGGAUAUAAAUUUCUCUACUGUUCUGCCCGUGCCAUCGGGAUGGCGGACAUGACGCGGGGCUACCUGCACUGGGUCAACGAGAGGGGCACGGUGCUGCCCCAGGGGCCCCUGCUGCUGAGUCCCAGCAGCCUCUUCUCUGCCCUGCACAGAGAAGUGAUUGAAAAGAAGCCAGAAAAGUUUAAAGUCCAGUGUUUGACAGACAUCAAAAACCUGUUUUUCCCCAACACAGAACCCUUUUAUGCUGCUUUUGGAAACCGACCAGCUGAUGUGUAUUCAUACAAGCAAGUAGGAGUGUCUUUGAAUAGAAUAUUUACCGUCAACCCUAAAGGAGAGCUGGUACAGGAACAUGCAAAGACCAACAUCUCUUCGUAUGUGAGACUCUGUGAAGUAGUCGACCACGUUUUCCCGUUGCUGAAAAGAAGCCAUUCUUCAGACUUUCCCUGUUCGGAUACCUUCAGUAACUUCACCUUUUGGAGAGAGCCACUGCCACCUUUUGAAAACCAGGACAUUCAUUCUGCCUCAGCGUAAAAUGUCCCAAGCAGCCUCUUGCCAGCAGUGCAGAGCCUGGUUGUCACCCAUUAAAGGAUAGGUCUCCCCGGAGUGCACAGCUCCACCUGGGAGCCUGGCGCGUCAUCAUUGGCCUGACAGCAGAGAGAAUUGAGAAGCAUUUCUCCCCUGCCCCACCCCGGGGCUGACAUUUCUAAGCAAGAUAGGAAGGGAGCACUUUCUAGGCGAGGAGUUGGGCGCAUUUGUACCGUGAAAAGCAUUCCUCAGUUGUGGCUUAAUGCCAGUUACGAUGCUGCCUUUCCGGCCUGCUCCAGCAAGUAGCUACUGGUUCACGUGCAGUUUGGGCCUGUGAAACCUAGGCAGAAGGUGGCUGUCUGAGGGCUGUCCCCGCCUAGGACAGGGUCAAUCGAUGAAUGCCAGAUGUGCACGGUUUUUGGCAAAGUAGGGGGCACAUUUCCAUUAUAGCAAUGUUAGUGCCACCACCUUCUGAACACAGUGGGGAGGGCUGUGAAGGCUCAUGUGACCUGGAUCUGAGGUGUCUGAUAGAAAUCCGGACGCCACCGGGUCCAGGCCUGGCCUCAGACUUGGCCUUGUGGAUGGGCCCCUUACAGUAUUUGCUGACUAGUCUCAUUUUUAGGUGAUAAGUUUUUCUUUAAUUCCUUUGGUUAAAGAUAGUCUAUUUCAUUGGCAUAUCUCCCCCCAGUUUUUGUGGCUCAAGGCUGGAAUAUUUAUGCCUUAAUGUAUCUAUGGCAGACAUUUAAGAAUGCGCUUUAUCUAGCUCAUGGUAACUUUGCAACGCCUUAGAUUAAAAUGACAGUAAAUAUGACUAAGGCAGUAUUUUGAAUGAGUUUGACACUGCCGGCUUCCUUCCAUCCAGCAAGGUGGUGCUGACAGUGUGGGCUUGAGCGCACUUAUGCCAAAUGAUAAUGAUACUGACUUCUGUUGGGAGCUCUCCAAAGAAACUGGUUGGUUUUAAGAAAAUAGUUUCAAGAAGUUCAACUAUAUUCUUUUAGAUAUUAUUUAUUGUUUUACUCUGAUUAGGUUACUGUGAUAGGCAUUUAUUCAUAUUCUUUCUAUACCACUGUCAUUAAUAUAUUAAAAAGAUGUAUGUGUUAGACUAUCGAAAGGGCCUUAUUCUCUCUUUCUCAUAGACUGACCUUCUUUUGGAAUUUCUGAGUCAUUUAAUUUCCUUAGCUUUUUCCACUCAAAUUAAGGGCAAGGGAAAAAGUAAUAAUUUGAGUGGCAUUCUUUAAGCCUACAGAAUGUGAUUCUUUCACUUGUUUAUUACACUGGCUCGUGGACAGAACAAUUUGAAAAGUGAAAGAAUUAUUUUGGUAAAAGAUUUUGCUUUACUUUUCGAAGCAUUAUUUUUUUAAAGAGUGUUUUACUCCAACGAUUGAAACAUUUUCCUAUUUAAAUUUCAUCGUUAGAAUCACAGGAGGCAAAAAAUGGAACGGUUGAAUGAAAUUUUACUCUUUCUGUGAAAGAAAAUCCACAGAGUUGUUGCCUCCGUUGUAGUUGGUGGGCCCUGUUAGCAUUGGAUGCCUUUGCCAAAUGGUUCAUGUGGACACACAAAGGCAAACAGAUCUGCCAUCGAUCGCAGAUUUCUGUAGAAACACGGAUGUGCAUGUGCAGAUUCCCUUUUGCAGGUAUUAAAAAUAAUUAAAAAUAGUCCUGCCUGAGGUUGCAGUGAGCUGAGCUUGCACUACUGCACUCCAGCCUGGGUGACAGAGUAAGACUCCAUGUCAAAAAAAAAAAAAA
rnacentral:sRNA from 1 species